CGUACACUCCUGCGGGAGGCAGCAGUGGGGAAUAUUGCACAAUGGGCGCAAGCCUGAUGCAGCCAUGCCGCGUGUAUGAAGAAGGCCUUCGGGUUGUAAAGUACUUUCAGCGGGGAGGAAGGCGAUAAGGUUAAUAACCUUGUCGAUUGACGUUACCCGCAGAAGAAGCACCGGCUAACUCCGUGCCAGCAGCCGCGGUAAUACGGAGGGUGCAAGCGUUAAUCGGAAUUACUGGGCGUAAAGCGCACGCAGGCGGUCUGUCAAGUCGGAUGUGAAAUCCCCGGGCUCAACCUGGGAACUGCAUUCGAAACUGGCAGGCUAGAGUCUUGUAGAGGGGGGUAGAAUUCCAGGUGUAGCGGUGAAAUGCGUAGAGAUCUGGAGGAAUACCGGUGGCGAAGGCGGCCCCCUGGACAAAGACUGACGCUCAGGUGCGAAAGCGUGGGGAGCAAACAGGAUUAGAAACCCCUGUAGUCCCAU
rnacentral:rRNA from 1 species